rnacentral:sRNA from 2 species
UGCGGGUUUGACAAAUAUUCUUCCUGCUUCUUCCUUGUCCAACUUAAUAGAUUGUCUGCGUAGACAAGAUCUCUCCCGAAUACACAUCUUAUCCUUUUGUUUUUUACUCACAACAGUUUAUUGAUGACUGGAGAGGAGAAGUGAUCCCUCAGAGACCUAAUCCUUCUUCUCCCUUCCCUCCCUCACAGCAUCCCUCCCCACUUCAUCUGCCCCAAUAACCCUGGCCACAUCCUCUGGCAAAACAUACUCCUCCUCCACUGGCAUCCUCCUCUUCGCCUCCUCCAGCUGCCCCUCACUCACCAACCUCCCCACGUCCUGCAUUAACCCCGUCACAUCCUUGAUCCCCACAAUCCACUCAUCUAUAUACCUAUCCACCGCCUCCCCCUUCAACCCAACCUGCAGUGACCGAUACUCCAGCGGCCGGAACUCAAAAUCCCUCUCA